AACUUAACCGCUUGGGUUGGUUGGUUGGACUCAGAAUUUUAGGUUUUAAAUGGUUGCACGGUUGUAACCUGAAGAUGCCGCGUUGAAAGAACUAAAUAAUGCGGAUAGCGGCGCAGUACGAACGGAACAUGCAUAUUAACACAUACCGGGAUUUUUCAGUCACAGAAUUUCUGGCAGAUCCUUCUUAUUAAAAUGGAUUUAAAUGUA